AGAGGUUACGGUUCCGCUAACGGACAACAACAUAACAGGGGAAGAGGAUGCAGACAAAGCUGGAAAGGGGCAGGAGAAUGGAGGAUAUCCCCAAGACACCUGGAUCGACUUUUUGAGAAAGUGUUGUGGUAGAAUGUUUGUACCUUGCUUGCUGUGGUGAUAAUCCUUCUCAUCAUAUUGCUCUGGCUGACAGUGGCUUUGCCAAACCAACAAACAAUACAAAAAGUUAAUAAAAUAAUCUCAAUGAAAGAUUUGUAAAACAGUUUCAGUAUAGUACAGUCAACAUUAAAAGAUCCCAGCUUUUUCAGAAAGUACAGUCUCUGUUGACUCUUUUUGUAGAUCAGGUCUGUACAUUUAUUCCACUGAAGCUUAUUGUUCAUGAGGACACCCAGAUAUUUGUAUUCCUCUACAAUCUAUAUGUUCUGACCUCUGAUAGAUGUUGCAGAGGUAGGUGUUGUACGCUUCCUGAAGUCUAUGCACAUCUCUUUGGUCUUGUUGGUAUUGAGGACCAAGUGUGAUUUGUCACACCACUCUACAAAGUCAUUUAGGAUGGUGUUCCUCGUCAUCAUGCAACAGGCUAAUCAAGGCAGUGUCAUCAGCGAACUUAAUGAGGUGUCUGUUAGGAUGGAAACUAGUACAACUAGUAGUGUACAGGAGUGGGGACAAAACACAUCCCUGAGGCGAGCCUGUGUUGGUGGUGCAUAUGUCCGACACGUGGGGAUCUACUCUGACCCGCUGUGACCUCUGGCUCAGGAAGUCUAACAGCCACAAAACCAUUCCCCCAUCUAAGGAGAAGUCCCUUAUGAGACUCUGUGCCAGAAUGUAAGGCUGGAUUGUGUUGAAGUCAGAAGAAAAGUCAACAGAAUAAUAAUAAUAUGCCAUUUAGCAGACGCUUUUAUCCAAAGCGACUUACAGUCAUGU